rnacentral:rRNA from 1 species
AACGGAGAGGACGAGUGUUAUUCGACUUGACUGGGUGUAAAGGUACGUAGGCGGUUAUUUAAGUAAUAAAUAAAAUUUAUAAUAUUUAUUAUACUAUCUAACUAGAGUUUUUCAGAAGAUAACAGUAUCUUAAGUGGAAAGGUGACAUUUUUAGAUAUUUAAGAGACUCUCAACAGGCGAAGGCAGUUAUCUAUUAUUAUACUGACGCUGAGGUACAAAAGCGUGGGGAGCAAAUAGG